rnacentral:rRNA from 1 species
AUUGAACGCUGGCGGCAGGCCUAACACAUGCAAGUCGAGCGAGCGGCGGACGGGUGAGUAAUGUAUGGGGACUGCCCGAUAGAGGGGGAUAUCUACUGGAAACGGUAGCUAAUACCGCAUACUAUCGGAUAACCCAUAUGGGAUUAGAUAGUAGUUGGGGUAAUGGCUCACCUAGGCGACGAGCCCUAGCUGGUUUGAGAGGAGGAUCAGCCACACUGGGACUGAGACACGGCCCAGAUUCCUACGGAGGCAGAAGUGGGGAAUAUUGCACAAUGGGCGAAAGCCUGAUGCAGCCAUGCCGCGUGUAUGAAGAAGGCCCUAGGGUUGUAAAGUACUUUCAGUCGGGAGGCGGUACCUACAGAAGAAGCACCGGCUAACUCCGUGCCAGCAGCCGCGGUAAUUC